rnacentral:rRNA from 1 species
CCUUGUACACACCGCCCGUCACACCAUGGGAGUUGGUUUUACCUUAAGACGGUGUGCUAACCCGCAAGGGAGGCAGCCGGCCACGGUAAGGUCAGCGACUGGGGUG